rnacentral:rRNA from 1 species
AGUAACACGUGGAUAACCUACCUAUAAGACUGGGAUAACUUCGGGAAACCGGAGCUAAUACCGGAUAAUAUUUUGAACCGCAUGGUUCAAAAGUGAAAGACGGUCUUGCUGUCACUUAUAGAUGGAUCCGCGCUGCAUUAGCUAGUUGGUAAGGUAACGGCUUACCAAGGCAACGAUCGCAUAGCCGACCUGAGAGGGUGAUCGGCCACACUGGAACUGAGACACGGUCCAG